GAUGAACGCUAGCUACAGGCUUAACACAUGCAAGUCGCGGGGCAGCAUGGGGGUUGCUUGCAACCCCUGAUGGCGACCGGCGCACGGGUGAGUAACGCGUAUCCAACCUGCCCUUCACCACGGGAUAACCCGGCGAAAGUCGGACUAAUACCGUAUGUUGUCCAUUGACGGCAUCCGAUUUGGACGAAAGGCUUAGCGGUGAGGGAUGGGGAUGCGUCCGAUUAGCUUGACGGCGGGGUAACGGCCCACCGUGGCUACGAUCGGUAGGGGUUCUGAGAGGAAGGUCCCCCACACUGGAACUGAGACACGGUCCAGACUCCUACGGGAGGCAGCAGUGAGGAAUAUUGGUCAAUGGGCGUAAGCCUGAACCAGCCAAGUAGCGUGCAGGAUGACGGCCCUAUGGGUUGUAAACUGCUUUUAUGCGGGGAUAAAUGAGCCCACGUGUGGGUUUUUGCAGGUACCGCA
rnacentral:rRNA from 1 species